GACUAACGAAAGCUCUUAUGCGAACAGAUGUCCAAAAUUUCACUGUUAUCGAAAAAGGGUGUCCAAAAUUUCGCAACUCUCGUUGUGACAGGGGUGCACAAAAUUCUUUGAUCUCCGUACGGGAUUGCCCAAAGCCUCGUCGCUUUCUCGAAGGGAUGUACAAAACUUCGGUUCUCGAUCGCACGAGGGAUGUCCAAACCUCUGACCUGGUAUCGAAGAGGGCACCGAAAGUUAUGGACACCCCUUUCGGGAAACGACAAAACUUUGGGCAACCCGGCAGGGAGGCGACGGUAUUUAAUGACAAAUAAAACAUCCCUUUUGGGGAACAAAAGAAUUUUGGACAGUUGUAGGGAAACGAAGGUUAUUGUUGGACACCCCUGUUGACCGGUAAUAAAGUGUCGAGAUUUGGGCGGCUUUUCCGUGAAGUGAUAAAAUUUUGGACAUCCCUUAAAUGUAAGUAUUGGCUGAUAGACACUAAAAACCUUAAUAACCUUGAAAUUGGGCACUUUUUUGGUACGAAACAGGUAACGUGAAAAACUACUGUAGUGGCCUACUUUGCAUUUAAAUUUUGAAGCAAAGCGCGCCCAACCGACGAGGGCGACGAAGACGCUGUGUAAGCAAGGAGGUGGGGAGAUUGUGGCGUGGACGGCGCGAAGAGCCGGGGGCGACAGUUCGUUCUUGAACACCCAGCAGAGACGAGGUUGUAUUACAAUUUUGUACAGAGCGCUUUCUGUGUGUUUUUCAUUGUUUUAGCUUUAUUAAUUGUGGUUUCACCCCGAUUGUCACCUGGACUUUUCCCCCUUGUCGUUGGAGCCGUCAACCACCGCUGCCGUCUUUCGUGGGGCUGAGAAUCGCUUCUUCGCUCGCGGAGGGAGGAACGUUUGGGGCGGUAAGAACGCUGGCGUUUGGUCGAAUUGGACAGAAUGCCGUUUUGGUGUGGAAAUCGCCAAGCUACGACCCGGGGCCCGCUGUAGAAGAUCUCCAGACGUUCGUCGCACGUAAUCGCCGUUUUCUUAGUUUUGGUUUUCAGUAUCAGUAAAUCGUUGUCGCAGGGCUUUUCAGGGAAUUCAUUAGUUAGGAUGCAAUUCAAUUUCAUUAAUUUUAUACCAAAGGUUUUUGGAUGGUUUUUCCACAGUUGUCACUUUUUUCCAAAUUUUCAUGUUCGGACAAUUUCAAAUCAAAAUUUAAACGUUAAGAGAGAGAGAGCGAGGGCGGGGGCGAGCGUGCAGGUGGCCCACUCGAGAUUAUCAAUGUUUAGGCUAGACGACUUUAAUGGGCGCUAGUCUGGAAAAUCCACGCUCCCAGAGCAUUUUUGUGUUAGUCAGCAGAGAAAUGUCGAUUGACCUCAAAAAUUAUUACUCAAUUAGUAACGGAAAGCUGGACCACUGUUUUAUGUUAUGACUUAUGUGUUACCAUGUGAAUUCUAUAUUUACCAUUUUGAAAAGCACACAUUCAAAGCGCAAUGUGUACCAAACGUUAUAUUUUAUUGUGUUGGUUUGACAUGUUUGUAUGUAUGUUUGUAUGUAUUUUUGUCGACAUUAUUUUAUGUGCAGUUUUCCGUUGCAUUCACAUUUGAAUUAAUUAAUUCUCGAUGGGGUAAAAGUUUUUAACAAAUGUGGCGUACUUAAACUUUGUUGCAAUAUCCACAAUUUUAGUUUGGGUUUGAUAGUUCUUCAAGUUUCAAAAAUAUUAAAACUUAAAUUUGACUAAUUAGAAAAUGUUCGGGGUUGUUUAGCGAGAGCGGGGAACGACCCAAAUUCAAAUUGAUGAUUUUUCUUUCAUUCGUAUGACUGUUUUCUCCCAAUACCGAAUGCCGCCAACACGGGAUAUGCGGAGGGUGUCUUGCUGGUAAAGGAAACUUUAGUGGUGGGAGUCAGUGUCGUGUGUCCCGCGGUGGAUGGAGUAAAGUUACGGGAUAAUACUUGCCGCCGUUGCCUCGGGCGCCGGCGAACACAGGAUGGAGAUAGUGUGACGUUUGAGGUGGCCCAGUGGCUUGGUUGUACGUAGCUGGUUAGAGCGAAAAGACAGUUAAAAAGACAAGGUCUAGAACCGCUAGCGCUACACACCCCCUGUUUCUAAAUUUAUUGCAUUAAAUUGUAUUAUUGUUAUCUGCUGACUGAGAAAGAAUUUCUAACACGCCAAAAUGACAACUGUGGCAAUGCCACCCAAUUACUUUAGCUAGAGCUUUCGCGAACUUUUUUUUUUUGUAUGUCAUUGCUAGGAUUUUGAAAAUAUUAUAACAAAAUUUAUAAUUGUUUUUAUAAAAGAUAGAGAGGUUUUGCAGCUGGGAAAAUAUACUCAUCAAGUUUAUUUCACAGCUUUUGUCCUCUCCCUUAAGAGGAACUAAUUUUCAGCCAAUUGUUUUGUUAUAUGUAUAAACGUAAUUAUUUCAUUUCAGUUCAAAUCUCUUUUUACCAAAAUUGAAUAAAAGAUGUUCCUUUUCA